GGGUUGUGAGGUUAAGCGACUAAGCGUACACGGUGGAUGCCCUGGCAGUCAGAGGCGAUGAAGGACGUGCUAAUCUGCGAUAAGCGUCGGUAAGGUGAUAUGAACCGUUAUAACCGGCGAUUUCCGAAUGGGGAAACCCAGUGUGAUUCGUCACACUAUCAUUAACUGAAUCCAUAGGUUAAUGAGGCGAACCGGGGGAACUGAAACAUCUAAGUACCCCGAGGAAAAGAAAUCAACCGAGAUUCCCCCAGUAGCGGCGAGCGAACGGGGAGCAGCCCAGAGCCUGAAUCAGUGUGUGUGUUAGUGGAAGCGUCUGGAAAGGCGUGCGAUACAGGGUGACAGCCCCGUACACAAAAAUGCACAUACUGUGAGCUCGAUGAGUAGGGCGGGACACGUGGUAUCCUGUCUGAAUAUGGGGGGACCAUCCUCCAAGGCUAAAUACUCCUGACUGACCGAUAGUGAACCAGUACCGUGAGGGAAAGGCGAAAAGAACCCCGGCGAGGGGAGUGAAAAAGAACCUGAAACCGUGUACGUACAAGCAGUGGGAGCACAGAGCAAUCUGUGUGACUGCGUACCUUUUGUAUAAUGGGUCAGCGACUUAUAUUCUGUAGCAAGGUUAACCGAAUAGGGGAGCCGAAGGGAAACCGAGUCUUAACUGGGCGUUAAGUUGCAGGGUAUAGACCCGAAACCCGGUGAUCUAGCCAUGGGCAGGUUGAAGGUUGGGUAACACUAACUGGAGGACCGAACCGACUAAUGUUGAAAAAUUAGCGGAUGACUUGUGGCUGGGGGUGAAAGGCCAAUCAAACCGGGAGAUAGCUGGUUCUCCCCGAAAGCUAUUUAGGUAGCGCCUCGUGAAUUCAUCUCCGGGGGUAGAGCACUGUUUCGGCAAGGGGGUCAUCCCGACUUACCAACCCGAUGCAAACUGCGAAUACCGGAGAAUGUUAUCACGGGAGACACACGGCGGGUGCUAACGUCCGUCGUGAAGAGGGAAACAACCCAGACCGCCAGCUAAGGUCCCAAAGUCAUGGUUAAGUGGGAAACGAUGUGGGAAGGCCCAGACAGCCAGGAUGUUGGCUUAGAAGCAGCCAUCAUUUAAAGAAAGCGUAAUAGCUCACUGGUCGAGUCGGCCUGCGCGGAAGAUGUAACGGGGCUAAACCAUGCACCGAAGCUGCGGCAGCGACACUAUGUGUUGUUGGGUAGGGGAGCGUUCUGUAAGCCUGUGAAGGUGUACUGUGAGGUAUGCUGGAGGUAUCAGAAGUGCGAAUGCUGACAUAAGUAACGAUAAAGCGGGUGAAAAGCCCGCUCGCCGGAAGACCAAGGGUUCCUGUCCAACGUUAAUCGGGGCAGGGUGAGUCGACCCCUAAGGCGAGGCCGAAAGGCGUAGUCGAUGGGAAACAGGUUAAUAUUCCUGUACUUGGUGUUACUGCGAAGGGGGGACGGAGAAGGCUAUGUUGGCCGGGCGACGGUUGUCCCGGUUUAAGCGUGUAGGCUGGUUUUCCAGGCAAAUCCGGAAAAUCAAGGCUGAGGCGUGAUGACGAGGCACUACGGUGCUGAAGCAACAAAUGCCCUGCUUCCAGGAAAAGCCUCUAAGCAUCAGGUAACAUCAAAUCGUACCCCAAACCGACACAGGUGGUCAGGUAGAGAAUACCAAGGCGCUUGAGAGAACUCGGGUGAAGGAACUAGGCAAAAUGGUGCCGUAACUUCGGGAGAAGGCACGCUGAUAUGUAGGUGAAGUCCCUCGCGGAUGGAGCUGAAAUCAGUCGAAGAUACCAGCUGGCUGCAACUGUUUAUUAAAAACACAGCACUGUGCAAACACGAAAGUGGACGUAUACGGUGUGACGCCUGCCCGGUGCCGGAAGGUUAAUUGAUGGGGUUAGCGCAAGCGAAGCUCUUGAUCGAAGCCCCGGUAAACGGCGGCCGUAACUAUAACGGUCCUAAGGUAGCGAAAUUCCUUGUCGGGUAAGUUCCGACCUGCACGAAUGGCGUAAUGAUGGCCAGGCUGUCUCCACCCGAGACUCAGUGAAAUUGAACUCGCUGUGAAGAUGCAGUGUACCCGCGGCAAGACGGAAAGACCCCGUGAACCUUUACUAUAGCUUGACACUGAACAUUGAGCCUUGAUGUGUAGGAUAGGUGGGAGGCUUUGAAGUGUGGACGCCAGUCUGCAUGGAGCCGACCUUGAAAUACCACCCUUUAAUGUUUGAUGUUCUAACGUUGACCCGUGAUCCGGGUUGCGGACAGUGUCUGGUGGGUAGUUUGACUGGGGCGGUCUCCUCCUAAAGAGUAACGGAGGAGCACGAAGGUUGGCUAAUCCUGGUCGGACAUCAGGAGGUUAGUGCAAUGGCAUAAGCCAGCUUGACUGCGAGCGUGACGGCGCGAGCAGGUGCGAAAGCAGGUCAUAGUGAUCCGGUGGUUCUGAAUGGAAGGGCCAUCGCUCAACGGAUAAAAGGUACUCCGGGGAUAACAGGCUGAUACCGCCCAAGAGUUCAUAUCGACGGCGGUGUUUGGCACCUCGAUGUCGGCUCAUCACAUCCUGGGGCUGAAGUAGGUCCCAAGGGUAUGGCUGUUCGCCAUUUAAAGUGGUACGCGAGCUGGGUUUAGAACGUCGUGAGACAGUUCGGUCCCUAUCUGCCGUGGGCGCUGGAGAACUGAGGGGGGCUGCUCCUAGUACGAGAGGACCGGAGUGGACGCAUCACUGGUGUUCGGGUUGUCAUGCCAAUGGCACUGCCCGGUAGCUAAAUGCGGAAGAGAUAAGUGCUGAAAGCAUCUAAGCACGAAACUUGCCCCGAGAUGAGUUCUCCCUGACUCCUUGAGAGUCCUGAAGGAACGUUGAAGACGACGACGUUGAUAGGCCGGGUGUGUAAGCGCAGCGAUGCGUUGAGCUAACCGGUACUAAUGAACCGUGAGGCUUAACCUUACAACGCCGAAGGUGUUU
rnacentral:rRNA from 2 species